CUCCGCUGACCGCAGGACACACUGCAGCUCACUGGACGAGGACACGGUCACUUCACACUCAGCAUCACCUGACACCAACACAAAUCAACGCAACACAUCAUCGCUGAAUCCAGAUCCAGUCACAGUAAGGACGGUUCCUCCCACUAACGACCCGUACCGUGGACUGAGGCCGGACACUGACAGGAUGUACUGAAUGAAGCCAUUCUGGCCCUCGCUGGAAAGAAAAACCAACACAACAGUCUGAAAAAACACUUCCCUGACAGGCUGUAUCCAUUGUUUCCAACCUGCACGUCCACCUUGUAGACGCCUGGUCCCAGCACAGGGAGAAGACAGUU